rnacentral:rRNA from 1 species
AACGAACGCUGGCGGCAUGCCUAACACAUGCAAGUCGAACGAUCCGUUCCUGUCGGGGGUCCAACGGCUGCGAACGGGUUGGGAACCUGCGCGUAACUUCCGAUUAACUUAGGGAUAUUUGACGUAAAACCUGGCAAUUUCUUCGUACCAAAGACUUAUCGCUGUGGGGUGGUGCCGCGUUGGAUUAGGUUGGUGGUGGGGUUAAGGCCUACCCAGGCGACGAUCCCUAGCUGGGCUGAGAGGAUGAUCGGCCGCAAUGGGACUGAGACACGGCCCAGGCUCGUACGGGAGGGAGGAGUAGGGUAUACUGGAGAAGGGGCCAAAGCCUGAUACCGCAACGCCGCGUGAGUGAUCAAGGGCUUAGGGUUGUACAGCUCUCUUACCCGGAACGAUAAUGACGGUACCGGGAAAAUAAGCCCCGGCUAACUCCGUG